GGCAAGGAGGUAAAAAUGCGUUUUCGU
rnacentral:misc_RNA from 1 species